rnacentral:rRNA from 1 species
GUCGAGCGGUAGCACAGGGGAGCUUGCUCCCCGGGUGACGAGCGGCGGACGGGUGAGUAAUGUCUGGGAAACUGCCUGAUGGAGGGGGAUAACUACUGGAAACGGUAGCUAAUACCGCAUAACGUCGCAAGACCAAAGAGGGGGACCUUCGGGCCUCUUGCCAUCAGAUGUGCCCAGAUGGGAUUAGCUAGUAGGUGGGGUAAUGGCUCACCUAGGCGACGAUCCCUAGCUGGUCUGAGAGGAUGACCAGCCACACUGGAACUGAGACACGGUCCAGACUCCUACGGGAGGCAGCAGUGGGGAAUAUUGCACAAUGGGCGCAAGCCUGAUGCAGCCAUGCCGCGUGUGUGAAGAAGGCCUUCGGGUUGUAAAGCACUUUCAGCGAGGAGGAAGGUGGUGAGCUUAAUACGCUCAUCAAUUGACGUUACUCGCAGAAGAAGCACCGGCUAACUCCGUGCCAGCAGCCGCGGUAAUACGGAGGGAGCAAGCGUUAAUCGGAAUUACUGGGCGUAAAGAGCACGCUUGCAGUUGGUUAAG